rnacentral:rRNA from 1 species
AUUGAACGCUGGCGGCAUGCUUUACACAUGCAAGUCGAACGGUAACAGGGUGCUUGCACCGCUGACGAGUGGCGAACGGGUGAGUAAUGCGUCGGAACGUGCCGAGUAGUGGGGGAUAACGCAGCGAAAGUUGUGCUAAUACCGCAUACGUACUGAGGUAGAAAGUGGGGGACCUUCGGGCCUCACGCUAUUCGAGCGGCCGACGUCUGAUUAGCUAGUAGGUGAGGUAAAGGCUCACCUAGGCGACGAUCAGUAGCGGGUCUGAGAGGAUGAUCCGCCACACUGGGACUGAGACACGGCCCAGACUCCUACGGGAGGCAGCAGUGGGGAAUUUUGGACAAUGGGCGAAAGCCUGAUCCAGCCAUGCCGCGUGUGUGAAGAAGGUCUUCGGAUUGUAAAGCACUUUAAGUCGGGAGGAAGGGCUGUAGGUUAAUACCUUGCAGCCUUGACGUUACCGACAGAAUAAGCACCGGCUAACUUCGUGCCAGCCGCCGCGGUAAAAC